UACGUAGGGUGCGAGCGUUAAUCGGAGUUACUGGGCGUAAAGCGUGCGCAGGCGGUUCGCCAAGUCAGGUGUGAAAUCCCCGGGCUUAACCUGGGAAUUGCGCUUGAAACUAGCGGGCUUGAGUGCGGCAGAGGGGGGUGGAAUUCCACGUGUAGCAGUGAAAUGCGUAGAGAUGUGGAGGAACACCGAUGGCGAAGGCAGCCCCCUGGGUCGACACUGACGCUCAUGCACGAAAGCGUGGGGAGCAAACAGG
rnacentral:rRNA from 1 species